rnacentral:misc_RNA from 1 species
ACCUUUAUAAACUUUUACUCAAAACUCUAUAAGAAAAAAACAUGCACUUUUACUAUUUUAUUUUUCAUGAACUUUUACUAUUCAAUUUUUCAUGAACUAUACUGCAAACUUAUCCUUAAUUUUCAAAAAUAUUUUAUAAAAAUAAUUACUUUUUUAAAAUUUUUUAGAAACGGUGGUUUUUCAGGAGUAAUCAGAGUAAUUGAUGGAACACAUGCCAUUUUUCCACCCGAAGCUGAGAGAGAAUAUCUGUUUAUUAAUAGAAAGUUAUACCAUUUGUUAAAUGUGUUAGUUAUUUGUGAUUUCAAAUGUGAAAUUCUUGCCGUAAGUAGUGCCCACGGUAGCCGAACACACGACGCCCUUGUGUUACGAUCAUCGAGAAUAUUUGCUUAUUUACAAAGGAGGCACGGAGAAGGUGAAACAAAUUCCUGACUUCUAGGUAAAUAAGUGGAUCAUGCAAUGAAAAGAAUAAUACAUAAACAGAAUUGUAUGCAUACCUUACUGAACUUUUUUUAACGGUAUUAAUAACGUUCUUUAAUUUUGAAACAAAUAAUUUUAAAAAGCAUUGUAUGCACAUUCUAAGUGAUUCUGCAUACCCUCUUCUACAUUUCUUGCUAACGCCAAAGUUAAAUGAAGUAGAAAGAACUCCAGAUGCAAGAUCUACAGAUCAUCAUGUUCGGACUCACGCAGCUAUAGAGCGCUGUUUUGGUAUCUUAAAAAGUCGUUGGCGUUGCUUGCGGAAAGAACGAGCUUUGCAUUAUAGUCCACAAUUCGCUGCUCUCAAUGCAUGUUGCGUUCUGCACAAUAUGACAAUUAGAUGGAGAAUUCCUAAUAAGGAGAUACAUUUAAAUGAACUAGACCUUAUACCACCAAUAGUAUAUAAUGAUAUUAAUGAAGAACAUGGCGAACAAAUCCGAAAUAAAGUAAUCCAGUGGUAUUUUACCCAUUAAUAAAACUUUUUAAGAUUAUAAUUAAGUGUAAUUACGUGUUUUUAAAUCUUUUUUAAUAAACU